AAUCAACGCUGGCGGCGUGCCUAACACAUGCAAGUCGAACGAGAAAGCGGGGGCAACUCCGUGAGUAAAGUGGCGACCGGGUGAGUAACACGUGACUAACCUACCUUCGAGUGGGGGAUAACCUCGGGAAACCGGGGCUAAUACCGCAUAACAUCGUCGGGUGAAAUUCCUGACGAUCAAAGCAGCAAUGGGCUUGAAGAGGGGGUCGCGGCUGAUUAGCUAGUUGGUGAGGUAACGGCCCACCAAGGCAGUGAUCAGUAUCCGGCCUGAGAGGGCGCACGGACACACUGGAACGGAAACACGGUCCAGACGCCUACGGGAGGCAGCAGUGGGGAAUUUUGCGCAAUGGGGGAAACCCUGACGCAGCAACGCCGCGUGGAGGAUGAAGUCCCUUGGGACGUAAACUCCUUUCGACCGGGAAGAUAAUGACGGUACCGGUGGAAGAAGCCCCGGCUAACUCCGUGCCAGCAGCCGCCGUAAAAC
rnacentral:rRNA from 1 species